CAAUGAAUCUCUAUGGGGGGCGUACAGCUUCUUUUUGCAGAAUGUGGAGACACUCAAUAUAGGUUCUGCUCACUAUGCAACAUUGAGAUAGGAAGCACCUCUAGUGGCUGUCUGAGUGACACUAUAGUGUCUCUUUAAGCUGUGUGAUGAUUCAGCUCCCAGCCAAUCACUAUGCUCCACCAACCCUAGUUCUCUAAUCCUAUUUUCAGCACCAUAGUAUGG